rnacentral:rRNA from 1 species
GACGAACGCUGGCGGCGUGCUUAACACAUGCAAGUCGAACGGAAAGGCCCUGCUUUUGUGGGGUGCUCGAGUGGCGAACGGGUGAGUAACACGUGAGUAACCUGCCCUUGACUUUGGGAUAACUUCAGGAAACUGGGGCUAAUACCGGAUAGGAGCUCCUGCUGCAUGGUGGGGGUUGGAAAGUUUCGGCGGUUGGGGAUGGACUCGCGGCUUAUCAGCUUGUUGGUGGGGUAGUGGCUUACCAAGGCUUUGACGGGUAGCCGGCCUGAGAGGGUGACCGGCACAAUUGGAACUGAGUUCCGCCCCAGCCUCUUCGGGGAGGCAGCGGUGGGGAUUAUUGCACAAGGGGCGGAAGCCUGAGGCAGCACCGCGGCGUGCGGGAGGACGCCUUUCGGUUGUAAACCGCUUUCGCCUGUGACGAAGCGUGAGUGACGGUAAUGGGUAAAGAAGCACCGGCUAACUACGUG